UUAGGAAUCUUCUGCAAUGUACGAAAGUAUGACAGAUUGAGUCAGAGUGCUUUUCAUAUGAAAAGCUUUUGCCAAAUGUAAAAAGUUUGGCGAAUAAGGACUGGGUAAGACGGGUGC
rnacentral:rRNA from 1 species